rnacentral:rRNA from 1 species
GAAAUAGGAGUGAGUAGAGUGGCGGACGGGCUGAGUAACGCGUGGGAAUCUACCCAGUAGUGGGGGACAACUACCGGAAACGGUAGCUAAUACCGCAUACGCCCUAUGGGGGAAAGGCUUCGGCCGCUAUUGGAUGAGCCCGCGUCAGAUUAGCUAGUUGGUAGGGUAAAGGCCUACCAAGGCAACGAUCUGUAGCUGGUCUGAGAGGACGAACAGCCACACUGGGACUGAGACACGGCCCAGACUCCUACGGGAGGCAGCAGUGGGGAAUAUUGGACAAUGGGCGAAAGCCUGAUCCAGCAAUGCCGCGUGUGUGAAGAAGGCCUGCGGGUUGUAAAGCACUUUCAGUUGGGAAGAUGAUGACGUUACCAACAGAAGAAGCACCGGCUAAAUCCGUGCCAGCAGCCGCGGUAAUACGGAUGGUGCGAGCGUUAAUCGGAAUUACUGGGCGUAAAGCGCGCGUAGGCGGCUAAGUCAGUCAGAAGUGAAAGCCCCGGGCUCAACCUGGGAAUUGCUUUUGAUACUGCUUAGCUAGAGUUUGGUAGAGGAUAGUGGAAUUCCAGGUGUAGCGGUGAAAUGCGUAGAUAUCUGGAGGAACAUCAGUGGCGAAGGCGACUGUCUGGACCAAAACUGACGCUGAGGUGCGAAAGCGUGGGUAGCAAACAGGAUUAGAUACCCUGGUAG